rnacentral:rRNA from 1 species
AACGAACGCUGGCGGCAGGCCUAACACAUGCAAGUCGAACGAUAUAGUGGCAGACGGGUGAGUAACGCGUGGGAACGUACCUUUCACUACGGAAUAGCUCCGAGAAAUUGGUGGUAAUACCGUAUACGCCCUCAGGGGGAAAGAUUUAUCGGUGAAAGAUCGGCCCGCGUUGGAUUAGCUAGUUGGUGAGGUAAUGGCUCACAAAGGCGACGAUCCAUAGCUGGUCUGAGAGGAUGAUCAGCCACACUGGGACUGAGACACGGCCCAGACUCCUACGGGAGGCAGCAGUGGGGAAUCUUGCACAAUGGGCGAAAGCCUGAUGCAGCCAUGCCGCGUGAAUGAUGAAGGCCUUAGGGUUGUAAAAUUCUUUCGUCAGGGAUGAUAAUGACCGUACCUGAAGAAGAAGCCCCGGCUAACUUCGUGCCAGCCGCCGCAGUAA